CCCAAGAGAGCUCCCCCAGAGAAAAAAAUUUCUGUUCCAAAAAGAGAAGAAGCUCCACCACCUAAAGUGCCAGAAGUACCCAAGAAAACAGCUCCAGAAGAAAAACUACCUUAUGCUCCCAAAGUAGAAGAGGCUCCACCUGCAAAAGUGCCUGCAGUUCCUAUAAAACCUGUCCCUAAAGAAAAAGUACCUCCUGCUGUUCCUAAGAAAGUUGAAGCUCCUCGAGCUAAAGUGCCUGAAGUGCAGAAGAAAGCAACUUUUGAAGAAAGAAUAUUCAAAACAGAAGAAAGAAUAUCUGUAGCCAUUCCAGAGGAAAUUUCACCACCUGAAGGUACUCUAUAAACAAACACUAAUGAGAAACUUGUGCUUUUACUAGAAGUCUGUUGUUCUAAAACCAAGAU
rnacentral:lncRNA from 1 species